ACAUCAUCCCUAUCAAGCCCAUCUCUUAAAGCUAAGAUCGACGACGAAAAUCACUCGACUCUUCGUUUUCCUUAUAGUUUCACUCUUGAUUAUUCUCAAUGGUGUUCUUUACUCAUUUCUUUAUGUCUCCUUCAACCUCCCAUCGUUUCUCCUUCUAUUUAAACACCUUCAUAGAAUUUUACAUUCAACCAAAAUAUAUCUCUUCGCAUCUGCAAAGACCAGCUGUUCGUAUUUCUUAUUGUUUUGAUGAUUUUAAUCCGUGGGGCUGUUUAAUCCAUAUCGGUGUGUUUUCUCAGAUCCCGACAUCGGGUCUGACUCGCUGGCAGCUCGAAUCAUGGUGUGAUCUGUGGUAACAACUAAUGGAAAGACAGAGAAGAUAGCUACAUGUUUGUUUGAUCCUUUUCUUGCACACUUGAAGACAUCAGAAGAUCAACUUUCUAAAGGUUUGUCUGAAUUCUGAGCAAUCCGGGUGUCCUAGAACGUGUUUACAGUUUAAAAACUGAGAGAUCAUGCAGAUUAAGGAAGCAAUUGGCAUCCAAACAACUUUGAAGAGGCAUUAACUGUUGUGAAAAAAAAGACUAUCUAAGAGCAGAAAGUACGAAAGGAAGGCAUUGCUACAGCUCAAAGAGGAGAAAGCCAUUGUCAUUUAUGAGCCUGAUUCACACACGUAGCAAUCAAAUUGUUCUACCGCAUCUCAUGAAAAGGUUCAAGUCAUGAUAGUUUUGGAGACAAGGACUAUGGUGUUGCAGAAAGAACAAGAACAAAGAUAGACGAAUCUUGAUACUUUCAGAGUGAAAUGGAGCGAGAAGAUGAUAUAAGAAAUCAGGAUAAGAUUUAUGGAACAAGGAAGAAGAUGAUCAAUAGACCGGAGCAAAUACAGUGUUCAAGAAAUUGAGAGAAAAAGAUUAGAAGAUCAGGAACAGUCUUACCAAACAUGGUCAUAGUCAUUACCACGAUCGUGAUCAUGAAGAAGAAUAUGACGAGCAAGAACCAAAAUGGCACAGUGAGCCAGUGUAUACACAGGCGGUAUAGCAGGUCAACCUGAGACACCUUGUCCUCCCGGAGAAAUUAAUUUUUUGCAAUGGACAAAAGUUUUUCAGUUUGUAUCUUCGGAUUAUACCAAACCCAUUGAACUGGAGCCAUUACGAGAUCUCUUUCAUGGACACGAGAUGAUGGAUACUUCAGAUUUGAUGAUACGCUACCUUUCAUUGUUCCGUAACCAUGAAGCUCAUAUCCAGGUGUUCGAGUUUGAAAGAAUCUUGAGUAGCCCUAGCUAUCAUGUUCUGCUUCAUCAAUGUCGUAGGGAUGCCUGCUUAAAAUUCAUGUAUAUGUGGAAGAAAAGCAUGAAUCUGGUCAGUUAAUACAGAUCUGUUGUAUUGUCAUUUGUACAGCAAGAAGGUGAAGUUUCAACCCAGAUAAAGGGAAAUAGCUGAUGAUGUUCCAAAGGUAGAGAAUCUAAAGACUGCAGAAAAGAUGGAGAGCUAAGAAAAACAAAAGAGUGAUGUCAAGUUUGAAAUACAAAAGAACCUAAUCGUAAUAUGAAUUAGACUUGAUAGACAAAUCCAAAUGGUGCUUUAUCCACCCAGCUACCCAUAUCUACAUUUUUAUUAUUUAGUUUUCUUGGCUAAAACUUUACAUAUGAUCUCCCUAAUUUGCUUUUAUAUGUUGUUCUUUGUUUGAGGGUUUUCUUCUUGAUUGUUCACUCAAUAAAACCUAUUAAAAAUUUC